rnacentral:rRNA from 1 species
AUUGAACGCUGGCGGCAUGCUUUACACAUGCAAGUCGAACGGCAGCGCGGGCUUCGGCCUGGCGGCGAGUGGCGAACGGGUGAGUAAUGCAUCGGAACGUGCCCAGUAGUGGGGGAUAGCCCGGCGAAAGCCGGAUUAAUACCGCAUACGACCUGAGGGUGAAAGCGGGGGACCGAAAGGCCUCGCGCUAUUGGAGCGGCCGAUGUCGGAUUAGCUAGUUGGUGGGGUAAAGGCUUACCAAGGCGACGAUCCGUAGCUGGUUUGAGAGGACGACCAGCCACACUGGGACUGAGACACGGCCCAGACUCCUACGGGAGGCAGCAGUGGGGAAUUUUGGACAAUGGGGGCAACCCUGAUCCAGCCAUGCCGCGUGCGGGAAGAAGGCCUUCGGGUUGUAAACCGCUUUUGUUCGGGAAGAAAUCCUCUGGGCUAAUACCCCGGGGGGAUGACGGUACCGGAAGAAUAAGCACCGGCUAACUACGUG